UAAUUGGGAUGAACAGGUGAAAAAGGCAUCGGAACGUCUUGAUAAUUGGUUCUUAAGGCCUUCAGAAGAAUCAAGUGCCGAGAAUGCCCCACAAGAAAGAUUGAAUGGCUAGUCACUAUCAUGAAAUGAUUAAUUUUAAAUUAAUUACAUUUUGUAUCGCCUUUAGAAGAAUCAAGUGGCUUGUUGGGUUGUUACGACUAUUUGUUGUGAACCUUUGGGAUAUCUGGUUUGUUGUUAUUGUUCAGUCUGACACCAUGAUUAUGUAUAUAUAUAAUGCUACUGAAAGUUCCUAGGUCCGGUCCUAAUGCCACGAAAACCUACAAUAAAGAGAAAAAAUGAGGUGAGUAGCCUUCUUGGAAGUUACUCAGAUGUUUAAGUCAGAGAACUAGAUAUGAG
rnacentral:misc_RNA from 1 species